rnacentral:rRNA from 1 species
CCUACGGGAGGCUGCAGUGGGGAAUAUUGGACAAUGGGGGGAACCCUGAUCCAGCCAUGCCGCGUGUGUGAAGAAGGCCCUCGGGUUGUAAAGCACUUUCAGUGAGGAAGAACGCCUGGUGGUUAAUACCCAUCAGGAAAGACAUCACUCACAGAAGAAGCACCGACUAACUCCGUGCCAGCAGCCGCGGUAAUACGGAGGGUGCGAGCGUUAAUCGGAAUUACUGGGCGUAAAGCGCGCGUAGGUGGCUUGAUAAGCCGGUUGUGAAAGCCCCGGGCUCAACCUGGGAACGGCAUCCGGAACUGUCAAGCUAGAGUGCAGGAGAGGAAGGUAGAAUUCCCGGUGUAGCGGUGAAAUGCGUAGAGAUCGGGAGGAAUACCAGUGGCGAAGGCGGCCUUCUGGACUGACACUGACACUGAGGUGCGAAAGCGUGGGUAGCAAACAGGAUUAGAUACCCGGGUAGUC